CUAAGUUUGAUGGCGACCGGCGCACGGGUGAGUAACACGUAUCCAACCUGCCGAUGACUCGGGGAUAGCCUUUCGAAAGAAAGAUUAAUACCCGAUGGCAUAGUUCUUCCGCAUGGUGGAACUAUUAAAGAAUUUCGGUCAUCGAUGGGGAUGCGUUCCAUUAGGUUGUUGGCGGGGUAACGGCCCACCAAGCCUUCGAUGGAUAGGGGUUCUGAGAGGAAGGUCCCCCACAUUGGAACUGAGACACGGUCCAAACUCCUACGGGAGGCAGCAU
rnacentral:rRNA from 1 species